CUUUUCUGAAAUGUACACCAUACAUUUCAUUCAUUCUAAUAUCAGAAUACUUUACUAGUCGUAUCAAUAUAACUAGCAAAAAAUAUCUCGCUUCUAAAAUAGAUGGGUGUAUAAUGUACACUCUUUUUGUGUGUAAAAAUAGCAUCCAUCAAUUUUUAUAUAAAGGAGUCUGACUACUAUAUAUACUCUUGUGAGUAUAAAUUUUUUGUACUCAUAAGUUUUCGACCGUUAAAUCUAUGUACCCUUUUGACCAUUUUCAUAUGUUAGAUCAUAUUAUUAAACCAACCAACCACUCAAUCCUAAGAGACCACUAUCAUCUUAAUCGGGAAUCAUUAUCAUCACAAUCACACAUCUGUUAUUCAAGAGUCGAAAACUUAUGAAUAACAAAGGAGUCUAUACUCAUAAAAAUAUAAUAAUCCUAGCCUUAUAUAAAGAUUGUUUAGAUACCGUUAAUCUCAUCCGUCACAUUAAAUUAUAAUUUUAAAAUAUUAAUAAUAAAAAAAAUUAUUAUUAUUGGCGGUUCAUGGAGAGAGUACUUAUGCACCGAGUGCAGGCAAUAAUUUCCCAUUAGUGGGCCCCCCGAAGUGACGUGCUUGUGCUUCGUCGGGUCGUCCCACUCGCUGCCGUCACGCCUAAGGUAAUAUCGUCUGCUCCCCUUUUUUUAGGAAGAGAAAAAAAUUUUUAUAGACAUGGUCCCUAAAUUAAUUAGUUUGGGAAUCAUGCGGAUGGGCGCCGUGUGGUCCAUCCGACGGCCACCGAUGGAAAAAAAAAAAAAAUUUGCCUUGUGUUUUUAGAGAGAGAGAGAGAGAGAGAGAGAGAGAAAGCAGAAAAGGGCACUCGUCGAAUCGGCCACGUCGCGCCCAUUCGUACCGUCCUCAAACUAUUUGUUCAGAGACGGUGUCCAUAAAAUUUUUGUCCGAAAGGAAAGAUAUUUAGCGGUUUCCCGCCCCCGUGAAUCUCCGCAAAUGGUUUAAUAGUGAUGGCUUAGAAACUAGAUACGUAUUCAAUUUGGACUUGAAUUUCCCACAUUACUUAGAUUAGGAGGAAAAAUAGCUAAAUUGCAUCUUUGGUCCUCAAACUUUAAAGCCGGAUAAAUUGCAUGUUUGAUCCUCAAACUAUAAGUUGAGGGAACUUUGGUCCUCAAAUUUUAGACCCGAUGAUCUCUACCAAUACCCGCGGUUAUUACCUGCGGAUUACCUGCAAAUUUGCGGGUAUGAGUACUAGUUCUUUUUAUUCGAAAAAUUGCGGGUAAAAUAAAUAGAUGUAUGUUAAAUUAUAGAAGUACUUGCUAAAUUAAAGAAAAUUUUUCUAUAAAUAUCUGUUUUCUUACUUUCCUUCUUUGAAUAUUCAAAAUCUAAGUUUUGCCCUCUUAAAAUUUUAAAAAUAUUUUCAGAUGGGCACGAUAUUAAUGGAGAGGACAAAAUAACUAAAUUAAACAUACUUCUUCUAUAAGAAAAAAAAAAAAUUUAAUGUAAAUUUGUCAUUUUAAAGGACAGUUUUGAUAUAAAUUAUAAAAAAUGUAUGGAAUAAUAAUAAAAUUUGACGGAGGGAGACUAAAUGCAACAAUUUGAAAUGUUGAGGGAGUAAAAUAUAUAUAGGCUUUUGAAAGUUAGGAAGAAAAAGUAAAAAAAGCAAGUAUUUAUAAGUAAGUUUUCUGUAGGAAGCAUAAAAUAGUUGGUGCUUCCGGUUUUUUAGCCCUUAGAUAAAAAAUUCUACGGUUGGGAACUUGGGAUUAUAGCGGUCUCCUUAGGGUUGAGUGGUCUCCUACAUAGUUAGUUAAUUCGGAUUCGGCAAAAAUUCGGUACGGGUAUAGUUCGGAUAAAAUUCGUCUUCUAAUUUUUAAAUUCGUUGAAAAAUACGGCUAAAAAACGGAUUCAUCAAUUAUUCGGAUACGUGAUUUAUUCGGAUAUUAUACGUUUACCAAUUAAAAGUUUGGGAUAAAAAAUUUGGCUAUUAAAUUAAAUUUUUUUCUCUCAAGAUUUAUGCUAUUAGCAUAAAUAUUCAUAUCUUUUACAAAUAUAGAAAUAAAUAGCUACAAAAUUAAGAUAAAUUAAAAUUUGAGUACCAAUAUAGGAAUAAAUAGCUACAAAAUUACAAUAAAUUAAAAUUUGAGUACCAAAGUGUCACCUUCCUCAUAGUUUGAGGACCAAACAUCUGAUUUAUCCUUUAAGACUUGAGAUACUUCCGUACUAAAAUUUAAAUUAUAGCAAUCAAGUUCUACAUUCAAUUUAGUUGGUUAAAUAGUAAUACAUCACUAACAUAAUACUGAUGUUGAAUAUUAUAAUUGAUAAAUAAUAUGAUUACUAGUGUAGUGACCCACGCGAUGCAAUAGUUAGAUAAUAGGAGAAAAAAAUAUAAAAUGCUAAUAAAUUAUAUUUUUAUAAAUUUUUUAAAUAAAUACAUAGGAUGAGUCAUAGAAAGUUAUAGCAAAUUAAGAAUUGUUUAUUUACUAUAUUUAGGAAAAUACAAUUAGGAGUUCAUAUCAAGAUUAAUAAAAUUAAUCCAAAUAUAUAUAACCAAUCUACAUGAUCAAAUUCAAAUUCUCUACCAUCUAGAAGCUAAAAGUUAAGGCAUCAAAAAAAAAAUUCUACCCAAAAUAAAAACACCAUCAAACAUUUGAAGGUUAUCAUUAAAAUACAAUUUAUUUCAAUAAGGAUUAAUGAAAAGUAAUGACAAGUUCAAAUAAUUUGCAUUAAUGACGUAGCCAUUAUCUUUUCUUCUCUCAUCGAAAACAAAAGGGUCUAAAAAAUUCAUGGCUGCAACAGUUGCUAAAUGGUUAUCCAACUUGCUUUGCCAUCUAAGCUUUUACCCAUAUGUCCGAAAAAUACAAAUAGCGUAGAAGAUUAAAUAAGGUUAUUUAUAAAGGAGUAUUUCAUUAAAUAUAAAUUGAUACAUUUUUCUAAUUAUCAUUGCUUAUCUCAUAAGCAUGUAGAAAUGAGAUAGCUCUAUGAACCAAAGCACAUUAUAUAACUUUAGAAAUAAAAAUAAAAACUUAUAUAAUUAUAUAUGAUCUGCAAAAUAGAACCAAAUUUGACAUAAGCUUAUAAUUGGCCGCAGAUUAUCGGAUCAAACGAUAAUCUCCUUACAUGUCAGAGCAGAUUGUACAUAUAUUAGAAUGUAUUCAUGAAAAGCUACAUAACAGAUAGGGCAAAAGAGUAAAUCAAAUCCAUACACAUUAAACAAAUAAACAAACAAAACUUUAAUAGAUAGACAAUUCACGUAUAGUUUCUUAUGAUAAAUAAUAAAAAUUUUAAUUUUAAUUUAUUAUGACCUUUAACAUUCACGUAUCAUAGUAAAUAAUGGAUGAAAUAAUGGAUGCAGUUACCUAACAGCCAAAAGUUAGUUAAAUAUUGUCGAUCCUAUGCAAGAAAAACUAAAUCAAACCAAAUCGAUAAUCAAUAGUUUAUCCUUGAUUCAUUCAAUAAAUUAAAAGAAAAAAAAUGAAAUAUCUGAAUAACAUUAAAAAAGAUAUUAUCACCUGCAUUAAUGGUGGUCUUAAUUGUGUCUUUAGAUCGCAAAUUUUGAUGCUCCUAUAGAAUUUUAGCACUAUAAGACAUCUUACAGAAAUGAAAAAAAUUACAAACUAUAUAUUUGUAAUGAAACAAAAUUCCCAUAAAUCAAUAACAUUAUAGGAUACAAUGUACUUUCCUCCUAUAGUAAAUAUGUGUAAGAAUUAAAGUAAUUAGGUUUUAAAGCAAAAUGCAUCAAGUGUUUACUAUCAAACAAAUUCCUAAUAAUUCAACACCUCUUUUAUAUCCUUCCCACUCAAUUUUUUUUUUUUGAAAAGACCUUUGCCCUCAUUGUUGGAUCAUCUAACGCUUAUCCGAUAAUGGCUCCAGCAAGAACUCCAGCCAUGGGCUCUAGCGCGCCACCACCACUGUCACGCCCCGAUCCCCGCCAAUUUGGUCGGGUUCGGGCCACGUCAACAGACGCCGAACGGACAGAGCCUCCCUUCUCGCCCAAGGCUCUAGCAACAAAUAUAAUAAAGCCAUUCAACGAAGAGAUUUGCAAUUGUACAAGGUUUGCACGAGGGCAAGCAACAACGGAAGUGAAAGCUCUAUACUAAAACAUAUAACCAUACACGAUAUUUGAUUACAUUUUAACCAGAUACAAGUAAACUACAACUAUUACAUUCUUUUUUCAUUCACUAACAAAUUCUUUUACAUGCUUGUCAUUCUCCCAAAAUACAUGAUUGUUUACAACUUUACAAUUCUAAAUCAACAAAAGAAAGUUGAUAUAUGAACCAAAAAGGGAAUGACUAAAAUGCAUAACUUCGGUGGCCACUAGCUAUGGCGCGAUACCCUUGCCUCGAUCCUCCGCCGCCCCGCUCACGCUUGGAUCUGUAGGGUUAGUGGUGUGAGAACUACAAAGAAGUUUUCAGUGGAUUCGGCAACCGACCUCGACUUACCCACUAGGUCUAUUCAGGCAUAAGUAUUUCAAAGGAAAGGAAAAGUAGCCAACACUGAUGCUAAUACUAUAUCUGCAAGAAAGCUGUCAGUGAAUAUAUAUAAUCAAAUAUGAAUGAUUAUGCAUGCAUGCUCUUUUCAUAAGUAUACUUUGACUUUUACCCAAUCUUACCGGUUAACCUUGUUAACCCCAAUAACUCACAACCUAAAAUCCCUUUUGUUCGGGGAGGCUCUAAGCACUACAAGACCCGAGGGACCGUCUUCGGAGACCGCGCUCCCCGUGGUGACAAUUUUCGGAACGCACCGCUUGAGGGGGAGCUACCACCCUCAAGCCAAGACUUAUCGUGAGUAUCGAUCCACUUCCCAGUUAGGGAAUGUAUAGCCACUAGUGACAAUGCCACUAUCAUAAUAGGUUUCUACCUAUUUGUUCUUAUCACUUUCUAAGUCAUUCUUGUCACAAUGCCAUUAAUUGUUAAACCUUGUUUAACGAUUCAUGUUUCGAUGCCGAUCAUGUCUCUAAUGUCAAUGUCACAUUUAUUUACUAUUAUCUUGGUCCAAGUCUCACAUUCAUACAAUCUUUAGGGUUCUACCAUACAUGUCCAUUAUGGUUCGGUCAUUCUCUAUAUGCAACUACAUUAGAAGCAUAUAAAUGAUCUGUAACCAAGUUUCACAUGUAAAAUUAUCCUAUCAUGCAUGAAUGAUUCUAUAUACAAGUAUGCUCAACAAAGGUGAAAAUAGAUAUAAAGGAGAAUCCGAUGAUUCCGGCGUGCACCCCCCACCUUGAAUAUUGUAGUAGAGUUGUAGUUCAACUCUCGCGAUUUUAGGGCACCUAUCCCGCGAUCUAAAUCCAAAAAUAAAGUCAAAUUAGGCUCUAUAUACAAGAUCUCUUACUUAAGCUUUUCGUAACGUCAAACGGAGUUGUCCCACUCGUCGGGAAUACCUCUAAUUAGAUUUUCAAGAGGUCAAUUUACCUCGUAAACAACCGAAGGCAAAAACCCAAAAUCCAUGCCCUAACAAUGCAAUAAUGGGAUUUUUCCUAGAUUAAUCUCAUC
rnacentral:lncRNA from 1 species